UACGUAGGGUGCGAGCGUUGUCCGGAAUUAUUGGGCGUAAAGGGCUCGUAGGCGGUUUGUCGCGUCGGGAGUGAAAAUCCAGGGCUUAACUCUGGACUGGCUUCCGAUACGGGCAGACUAGAGGUAUGCAGGGGAGAACGGAAUUCCUGGUGUAGCGGUGAAAUGCGCAGAUAUCAGGAGGAGCACCGGUGGCGAAGGCGGUUCUCUGGGCAUUACCUGACGCUGAGGAGCGAAAGUGUGGGGAGCGAACAGG
rnacentral:rRNA from 1 species